rnacentral:lncRNA from 1 species
CUUAUUUUUAAUUUGUGUUUGUCCUUGCAAUUAUACUUUAGCUUUAAUUUCCUUGUUCUACCUACUGUAAUCAUGUGAAAUGAAGAAGGAGAGGUUUGGAGGCCACUUAUGGGAAAGCUCAAAACAGGAGGUUGUAGAAAGAAAUACGGGAGAAAGGAAGCACAGACCUUGCUCUGAGGCAGGAAAAAGAAGGAAAAAGUGUAGAUAAAAGGCACAUGUUCUACCAAUUCAGGCCACUUUGAGGAGUCUUCCUAAGAAGCCAUACUCAAAAACUUUGAUGGCUGCCAUUAUCUGCAACCUGGAAACAGGG